rnacentral:rRNA from 1 species
AUGGAGGAGCUGUGGAAGGACAUGUCGCUGUGCUCCACCCCGCUCGCGCUACAGUCCUACCACCUCCACUCCCCGGCCGCCGCUCCCUACCGCGGCGCCGCCCACCCGCAGGACUACCUCGCCGGCGCCGUUCCGCAGCCUCCCCGCACGCCGCCGCCUCACACGGCGCUCACCCUGGAGUUCACCUGCCCCGGCGGGACCGGCGCUGCCAACCCGGCCACCAGCUCCGGCGACGACCCAGCCGGCUGUCACUUUGGCUUGUCCGCGUCCGGAGGCACCAGCAAGAGAGCCGCUGUGCAGCCAGUGGCGGGCGGCGACCGGCGGCAACGCCGGAUGAUCAAGAACCGGGAGUCGGCGGCGCGGAUGCUCAUCCAGCGCGAGCAGGACUUCAUCAACGAUCGUUUGGCGAAGGCGGCGCAGGCACCCGUCCCCGACUGCAGCAGCGGCAGCACUACUAGUACCCUCCAGCAGAAGCAGCAGCGGCAGAAGAGGUGCCGCUCCGCCCCUGCGCCAUGA